AUUGAACGCUGGCGGCACGCUUAACACAUGCAAGUCGAACGGCAGCGGGGGGAGUUAGGCUUCCUGCCGGCGAGUGGCGAACGGGUGAGUAACGCGUAGGGAUCUGCCUGUUAGAGGGGGAUAAGCCGUGGAAACGCGGUCUAAUACCGCAUACGCCCUAAGGGGGAAAGUAUGGGACCGAAAGGCCAUACGCUAACAGAUGAACCUGCGUUAGAUUAGCUAGUUGGUAGGGUAAAGGCCUACCAAGGCGACGAUCUAUAGCUGGUCUGAGAGGAUGACCAGCCACACUGGAACUGAGAUACGGACCAGACUCCUACGGGAGGCAGCAGUGGGGAAUAUUGGACAAUGGGGGCAACCCUGAUCCAGCGAUGCCGCGUGUGUGAAGAAGGCCUGAGGGUUGUAAAGCACUUUAGUUGGGGAGGAAAGCCUGAGGAUGAAUAAGCCUUAGGGGAGACGUUACCCAAAGAAUAAGCACCGGCUAACUCUGUGCCAGCAGCCGCCGUAA
rnacentral:rRNA from 1 species